rnacentral:rRNA from 1 species
UACGGAAGGCAGCAGUGGGGAAUAUUGCACAAUGGGCGAAAGCCUGAUGCAGCUAUGCCGCGUGUAUGAAGAAGGCCUUAGGGUUGUAAAGUACUUUCAUCGGGGAGGAAAAAACAAAACUAAUAAUUUUAUUUCUUGACGUUACCCGAAAAAGAAGCACCGGCUAACUCCGUGCCAGCAGCCGCGGUAAUACGGAGGGUGCUAGCGUUAAUCAGAAUUACUGGGCGUAAAGAGCACGUAGGUGGUUUUUUAAGUCAGAUGUGAAAUCCCUGGGCUUAACCUAGGAAACUGCAUUUUGAAAACUGAAAUACUAGAGUAUCGUAGAGGGAGGUAGAAUUCUAGGUGUAGCGGUGAAAUGCGUAGAUAUCUGGAGGAAUACCUGUGGCGAAAGCGGCCUCCUAAACGAAUACUGACACUGAGGUGCGAAAGCGUGGGGAGCAAACAGGGAUUAGAUACC